rnacentral:rRNA from 1 species
AUGGCUGCGGCGGAGCCGUCGGGAUCGAGCCAGCCGGGUGCUCCAGGAAGGUGGUCUCUUCACGGCAAGACGGCUCUCGUCACCGGCGGCACCCGCGGGAUCGGGCGUGCGGUGGUGGAGGAACUUGCGGCGCUGGGGGCGGCCGUGCACACCUGCUCCCGGAAGGAGGCGGAGCUGGGCGAGCGCCUCAAGGAGUGGGAGGCCAGGGGCUUCCGCGUCACAACCUCCGUCUGCGACCUCUCCGUCCGGGAGCAGCGGGAGCGCCUGAUUGGCGACGUCGCCGAACGCUUCGGCGGCAAGCUCAACAUCCUCGUAAACAAUGUGGGGACAAACAUAAGGAAGCCAACUACUGAAUUUUCCGCUGAAGAUUACUCUUUUUUGAUGGCCACUAAUCUUGAAUCUGCAUAUCAUCUUUGCCAACUUGCACAUCCUCUUCUAAAAGCAUCUGGUUUGGGAAGCAUUGUUUUCAUAUCAUCUGUCUGUGGAUUAGUAGCCGUAUUUAGCGGUACUCUAUAUGCCAUGACUAAAGGUGCCAUCAACCAGUUAACCAAGAACCUAGCAUGUGAAUGGGCAAAAGAUGGCAUAAGAACAAACUCUGUUGCUCCAUGGUACAUAACGACUUCGCUUACAGAAGGACUUUUGGCUAACAAGGAAUUUGAGGCCUCCGUUGUGAGUCGAACUCCACUGGGGCGUGUCGGAGAACCAGGAGAGGUAUCAUCGCUGGUUGCUUUUCUUUGCAUGCCUGGUUCCACUUACAUAACAGGCCAGACGAUCUCAGUGGAUGGAGGUAUGAGUGUCAAUGGGUUCUAUCCAGCUUGA